rnacentral:rRNA from 1 species
AUUGAACGCUGGCGGCAGGCCUAACACAUGCAAGUCGAACGAGUGGCGGACGUGUGAGUAAUGUCUGGGAAACUGCCUGAUGGAGGGGGAUAACUACUGGAAACGGUAGCUAAUACCGCAUACCCUCGGAUGUGCCCAGAUGGGAUUAGCUAGUAGGUGGGGUAACGGCUCACCUAGGCGACGAUCCCUAGCUGGUCUUAGAGGAUGACCAGCCACACUGGAACUAAGACACGGUCCAGAGUCCUACGGAAGGCAGGAGUGGGGAAUAUUGCACAAUGGGCGCAAGCCUGAUGCAGCAAUGCCGCGUGUAUGAAGAAGGCCUUCGGGUUGUAAAGUACUUUCAGCGGGGAGGCGUUACCUGCAGAAGAAGCACCGGCUAACCCCGUGCGAGAAGCCGAGGUAAUAC